CCUGCCCUGUGACACAGCUUUUAACGGCCGCGGUAUUUUGACCGUGCUAAGGUAGCGUAAUCACUUGUCUUUUAAAUAAAGACCUGUAUGAAUGGUUCAACGAGGGCUUAACUGUCUCCUUCCUCCUAUCAAUGAAACUGAUCUCCUCGUGCAGAAGCGAGGAUAAGCACAUAAGACGAGAAGACCCUGUGGAUCUUUAAAUACAAGAAUAGAGCAUGUUCAACCACUAGAGUAACUAGUGUCACAUAGUGAAUACUAUUCAAAUGUUUUUGGUUGGGGCGACCGCGGAGUAAAAUAUAACCUCCCUGAGGAAUGAAGAUACUUCUUCCAAGCUUAGAGUGACAACUCUAAGAAAUAGAAUGUCUAACCGCAAUGAUCCGGCAAGCCGAUCAACGAACCCAGUUACCCCAGGGAUAACAGCGCAAUCCUCUUUUAGAGCUCAUAUCGACAAGAGGGUUUACGACCUCGAUGUUGGAUCAGGACAUCCUAGUGGUGCAACAGCUAUUAAGGGUUCGUUUGUUCAACGAUUAA
rnacentral:rRNA from 1 species